GAGACACCCCACUGGGGCAAGACUUGCUUCAAUGGGGCUUUGGUGCUCACUGAGUCUGCCCCCUGAGUGUGUCCCU
rfam:Myotis lucifugus cont2.17569, whole genome shotgun sequence.